ncrna:unclassified sequences S15-Methanomicrobia ribosomal protein leader
GGCACAUAUCUGUGUGCUGGCAUGUGUAAGUCCGACGUGCCGGAAUGGCACGGCCUUGCGGGAAUCAGGCUCGGGAUUAC